AUGACACUUUAAACUGUGAUACGUUUUGGAUUAACUGUAGUUUAAGUUGCAGCAUGUUUAGCUACCAAAUUUAUCAAAUGUUACCAAGAUUGCUUAUGUCUGUGCCUUAUCGUUGUGUUUGUUAAAAGGACCUGUAACUGACGCUGCGGCUAAGGAGUUCUUGGACAGCUACCCCGUUCCCUUACUUUUCAGUGUGGGAAUGGAUGACAAUGUUAAGCGCCUGCAACAAGGACUUGUAGAGGUUGAAAUUGAGGCUGAGCGUCUUCUCUUGGCAAAACAACAGCUGGUUGAGUGUGACAGGUCCAGGAAUAGCAACCGAGAGGCUCUAACAGCAUUACGAAAGCAAGCUUGAACUUCAAAAAGUAGUGUUCCUUCCCCUUAUGAAUCACUCAUGAAACAAAUGGGGGGAAGUGAUGCUAAAGUCAAGGAAAUUUGCAGAACUUGUGGGGACCAUGAUUCAACUGAGAAUACGUGGAUGACGUUUGCUGGAGGAGAUAUUUUUGCACACUUACCAUUUCAUGCAGUUCAUGUCAGCUUAGAGAAAGAUCAGGAGAAAUUGGACUUCGAUGUAAAAAAAUUACAAAGCUACGUGAAGGAUAAAACUUUAUCACUUUCAGAGAAAGGUGGUUUGUCUGAUAUAAUAAGCCCACAAGUUCUUAGAGCAAUGGUAUCUCUAAAGGAUUCUAAGUGAUUUAAAUCCAUUUGUUAGGAUGAAGGCUCUAAUUCCUGUCUAAAGAAAAGGUUCAUGUAUUAGAGCUGCUUCCUUUUCAACAUCAACCAAAAGGAAUGAGAUGGUUUCAGUUGGGCAUCUUGAAUGCUGUGAUGAAUGAUCUGUAUUGCUUAGUCUUCCUUCAGAAAAUUGAAAUCAUUAGCAGAAGUUUGGUUGUGUAUCGGAAUGUACAACUUUUUUAGUAAGUCUUAAUGGAUUUAUCUUAUCUGAA